UCGGUUCUUGACAGAAGAAUGAAGAUUUCGUCAUUUCGCGUGUUGAUUCUCUUUUUCAUUUCGAUUUUUGUGUUAAUUUUGAUAGCCAUGGUGAUGAUUGAUGACUUGGAUUAUGCCUCCAUAGUAUGGACGUAUUGUCGACAUUGAUUUGAAGACUCCCCCACGCCCACCAGGCUAUGCUUUUGUGGAGUUCGAAGAUAUUUAUGAUGCUGAAGACGCGAUUUAUAAGGGUGAGGAAACCUCCCCUAGUAGACACGUUUAAAAACCUUGAGGGGAAGCCCAAAAGUUGGAAUUUGCACAUGGUGAAAGAGGACAUUCCUCUUCAAUAGAUCGUUAUAGUUGUAGUGGGAGCAGGCAUAGUGGUGUUUCUCGGCGAACUGACUAUCGUGGUAUGUAUUUUAUCUACUUCUAGUGUGACAGUUUGAUCCUAUUACGGUGACGAUAUUGUGUUUGUGCAGUUUUGGUUACUGGAUUACCUGAAGGUAAGCACAAUAUUUUUAUUUCAGUGAAAUAGCACGCUACUUGUCCAUUUAUUUGCUCGAUCAUAGCACCCUUGUUAAAUAGAAAUAACAAAUUAGUAUAUGACUCCACCCUCUUCUAUUAAUUUAUAGUUUGCUAUGUGAAUUUAAUAUUCAGGACCAUAUGCAUCGUGCUGGUGAUGUAUGCUUCUCGGAAGUUUUUCGUGAUCGUGAUGGUCGAGAUCAACGUCGAGAUCAAGAUCAGGAUCGUCAGUUUCAUAUCGCGCCAUGAGAGCGAACAUCAGAGUCUGAGCAGAUCUUGGUCCAAGUCCAGAAACAUAUCCAGAUCCCUUUCACCUAAUGUGAGCCUGGUUCGAAGCCAUAGCCGAUUGGUUGAUUCUUUUGGAAGAAGGAAUAGUGAAAGAGAUAUGAAAAGAUAGAAUCGAUGAAAGCUGCAGUGUUCUAUUAUUGUUUACUGACUUGAUGCUUAGAGGGUUACACAAUUCCAUUGGACCAGAAAUAGUAAAUCAUGAAAAUCUAGAUAAAUUAUUUACUAACAAUCUCCUAAAAUCUUGGUAGUUUGAAUAUUUGAAUCAUAUUUCAACUACUUUAAAUCAUAUCUUCGUUUUGAAUACUUUGAAUCAUAUCUCAACACUUCCCCUUGAUUCAAAGUUGGAGAUGUUAAGUACAUAGCUUUUCUUUUGACAAGGCAUUUGUAAAUAUGUCUGCUUUAACCCGUACAUUGUUUGUCUCAGCUUGUAUACCUUUGUUUCUUUGUCUUCCUUUAUGAAUCGGUGUUACAUAUACCUCUUCUUGUAAAUCUCCAUAAAACUUUUCGUUUAGUAGGUUAACCAUAUCCCAUGUUCCAUCUUUCUUAACGGACUGCAUCUCUACUGCCAUGGCUUUCUUUCUGUCUUCUUUUUUUAAGU